rnacentral:lncRNA from 1 species
CUCGUCCAACAUAUGCCGGAAGUAGCCAAGAAAUUUCUUGAUCGCUGCAUUGUCGAAGAAGGUGACCCAGAGGAUGAAAAUUACAAGGUUUCAUACGACCUUCGGUUCAUUCAAGGAAUGCCGGACGAAAAACGCAACGGG